rnacentral:rRNA from 1 species
CCUACGGGAGACAGCAGUGAGGAAUAUUGGUCAAUGGACGAGAGUCUGAACCAGCCAAGUAGCGUGAAGGAUGACUGCCCUAUGGGUUGUAAACUUCUUUUAUAAAGGAAUAAAACGAGGCAAGUGUGCCUUUUUGCAUUUACUUUAUGAAUAAGGAUCGGCUAACCCCGUGCCAGCAGCCCCGGUAAUACGGAGGAUCCGAGCGUUACCCGGAUUGAUUGGGUUUAAAGGGAGCGUAGAUGGGUUGUUAAGUCAGUUGUGAAAGUUUGCGGCUCAACCGUAAAAUUGCAAUUGAUACUGGCAGUCUUGAGUACAGUUGAGGUAGGCGGAAUUCGUGGUGUAGCGGUGAAAUGCUUAGAUAUCACGAAGAACCCCGAUUGCGAAGGCAGCUUACUAAACUGUGACUGACAUUGAUGCUCGAAAGUGUGGGUAUCAAACAGGAUUAGAUACCCGAGUAGUC